UACGGAGGGGGCUAGCGUUGUUCGGAAUUACUGGGCGUAAAGCGCGCGUAGGCGGACCUGCAAGUCGGGGGUGAAAGCCCGAGGCUCAACCUCGGAACUGCCUUCGAUACUGCGGGUCUCGAGUCCGGGAGAGGUGAGUGGAAUUCCUAGUGUAGAGGUGAAAUUCGUAGAUAUCGGGAGGAACACCGGUGGCGAAGGCGGCGAUCUGGGUCGAGACUGACGCUGAGGUGUGAAAGCGUGGGGAGCAAACAGG
rnacentral:rRNA from 1 species